rnacentral:rRNA from 1 species
UAUUGGACAAUGGGCGCAAGCCUGAUCCAGCAAUACCGCGUGUGUGAAGAAGGCCUUAGGGUUGUAAAGCACUUUCAAUUGGGAGGAAAACCUGCCGGUCAAUACCCGGUAGCUUGACAUUACCCUUAGAAGAAGCACCGGCUAACUCCGUGCCAGCAGCCGCGGUAAUACGGAGGGUGCGAGCGUUAAUCGGAAUUACUGGGCGUAAAGCGUGCGUAGGCGGUUCGUUAAGUCAGAUGUGAAAGCCCUGGGCUCAACCUGGGAACUGCAUUUGAAACUGGCGGACUAGAGUUUAGUAGAGGGGAGUGGAAUUUCAGGUGUAGCGGUGAAAUGCGUAGAUAUCUGAAGGAACACCAGUGGCGAAGGCGACUCCCUGGACUAGAACUGACGCUGAGUACGAAA